CCUUCGGGGACUGGAACACAGGUGCUGCAUGGCUGUCGUCAGCUCGUGUCGUGAGAUGUUGGGUUAAGUCCCGCAACGAGCGCAACCCUCGCCUUUAGUUACCAUCAUUUAGUUGGGUACUCUAAAGGAACCGCCGGUGAUAAGCCGGAGGAAGGUGGGGAUGACGUCAAGUCCUCAUGGCCCUUACGCGCUGGGCUACACACGUGCUACAAUGGCAGGUACAGUGGGCAGCAAUCCCGCGAGGGUGAGCUAAUCUCCAAAACCUGUCUCAGUUCGGAUUGUUCUCUGCAACUCGAGAGCAUGAAGGCGGAAUCGCUAGUAAUCGCGGAUCAGCAUGCCGCGGUGAUACGUUCCCAGGCCUUGUACACACCGCCCGUCACACCAUGGGAGUUGGAUUCACCCGAAGGCGUUGCGCCAACCGUAAGGA
rnacentral:rRNA from 1 species